GUGAUAGAAGUACCGUUCGGUUGUAAAAGCUCUGUCGGAGGGGAAGAACACAAUGACGGUACCCUCCAAGAAAGCCCCGGCUAACUACGUGC
rnacentral:rRNA from 1 species